rnacentral:lncRNA from 1 species
UGCCGGCCAUCCCCCGGCUGUCGUGGGGCUUAAAGACGACCCCGCGGCCUCGUCCCGAACCCUAGCCGCCUCUCCUCCCUCUGCCCCGCUCACACCCCUCGUCGUCCACGACCCCAUGGCCGCCUUGCCGUGAAGCUCGCGCUCUCCCGUCGACCCCAUGCCCGGAGUCCAUGUCCUGCAGCUCCUUCGGCCUCCUCUACGUCGUCUACGACCACCACCUCGAGCUCUAUGCCUCUACAUCGCAGGGAUCGACGUCGUCUUCCUCACCUACGGCCGUCGUUGCCUCGUCCGAUCUACCUCACCGGAGCUCCUCCGCCCCAUCCGACGUGUCCUCCACCUUCCCCUGUGAGUGGCACCCCCAUUCCCCUUGUCUCCCCCUCGAUCCGUCGCCAUAGUUACUGUCCCCGAGUUCGUCCGAAUGUACGCGUACGUACGUGCGCGCCCGUGCGUGGCCUCGCUCCUGCAGUUGACUGCUACUGUUGUCGUGCCGCCGUAGGACGCUCGCGUGCGUCCGUGUGCUGUUCGUCGCUGCCGCAUCGCCACGCCCUACGUCCAUCCGCGCGCGCGCUCGUACGACCCUGGCCGCAGCCUCCGGCGACCGCGUGCCUCUGUUGUUGCUUUCUUCUGCUGCUGCUCUGUCGUCGCGCCUACUGCUGCUGCUGCUCAUUGCUAUUUUUCUCUUGCUACUGCACCGUUGCCGCUGCUCUAAGCUGCUCGUGCGUGGGCAGCGUGGCUAUCUGCUACCUACAGCUGCUUAUUGCUCUCCCUGCCGUCGCUUUGUGUGGCUAUCACUGCUGCCUCCAGCUGUUGCUGCUGAUGUGCUGCUAUACUGCCUCCCGCUGGUAGUGGUGCCGCUCAGGCUGCUAUGCUAGCCGAUGCAUAUGCUAGCCGUUGCUGGUCAUGGCUUGCCGGGUGUGUGUAGCGUGUGUGUGCCAUGCGUGUGUAUGCCACAGCCAUGUGUGGCCGGCUCUUUGUUUAGUUAUAAAGUAGUUUGAUUUAGGAUUAGUUUAGUAGUACUAAAUUAGUAUACUAAUAAAUGACAUGUGUGUCCCACUUAAUUAGAUUAAAUAAAUAAGUUUUGAUAUUUAGUAAAGCUCUGACAUGAGGACCCCCCAACACUAUUGACUUUGGGCGGUCAAAUUGACUUGGUCAAUUCUGACUAUUUAAAUAUAAUUAUUAUAUAAAUUCCUGAAUAAUGAUUAAAUUUUUGAAAAUUAAUACAAAAUAAUCCGUAGCUCGUAUGAAAAAUAAUUUAUAUAUGAAAGUUGCUCAGAAAGAUCCGACGAACCCGGUUACGAUGUCCGUUCGUGUGUCGUGCGUCUCUAGCAUAGCAAACGUGAAACUUUUUCACCAUUUUUUGUGUGACCGGUAGAAGCCAGAGACCCCGGGAAAUAUCUUUUGAUAUUUUUCCCGACCCGUCUAGGAUGGAUAGCACUGCGUUAGCUCAUGCCUAGCGCUGCCUUUAAGCCAUGUCUUGCUUUGUGAUGCUUUUGUUUGUUCUGUUAUUUAUUGUGUUUCCCCUACACUACUUCAUUUCCGGUAGGCCCCGAGACCGAUGAUGAUCCGGUGAUCGACUACUUCCCGGUCGAUGAUCCAUUUUGCCGCAGAGCAACAAGGCAAGCAAACCCUCCCUUGAUCAUUCCUAUAUCACCUAUGUCUUUCUUCCUACUGCUUGCAUUAGUAUUUUGCUACUGUUGUAGCUAGCUCCUAUAUCUGAUGCAUAGCUUGUUUUUGAUGAACAGCUACUUUCAGUCCUGUACCUUUACUCUGCUUAGUAUAGGUGGAGCAGUCAUCCCCUCUGACCCCGUAGUUUAGUUGCCCCGCUUGUUUUCAAAUCUCGAUCUCUGAUCGACGAGCCAGACCCGACACAGCACAUUCACCCCCUUCGUUGUACGAUGCUACAGAGAUACUAUCGGGUACCGAGGGUGACACCUCACUAAGUACUCCUGAUGAUAUCUCUGUAGUAUAGCUGGUCGGUCGUGGUUAUCGAGGGUGAUUCCUCUUUCACCAUUCCCGAUGACGCCUCUGUCGUGCCACCCCGCGAGUGUGGGACCCCCGAGGUUGAUUCCUCUAAGCCCACCUUGACGGGUACAUCGUUCGGAAUCCAACGAGGGUGAUACCUCGGAUUCCCCCCGAUGGUACAACCACACAGUUACUCGACCAUGUUACUGGGAUCAUUGGUGAUUAGUUGUAAGACGGGUGGAUUCCCGUGAGACUGUGUUGAUGGCCUAAUUAAAAUGCUAAUGGAUUUGGGUAUUUGAUCUGGGUUGGUCGGAGACCUUUUCGCACUAACCGGCUACGCGGGAAGAAUUAUGGGUACUCGGCGUCGCGGUAUCAGCCGAAGCUUUUCAGAUGCCAGCAAUGUAGCGGCGCGCGCCCGAGUGGUCCCGAGAUGCAUCGCGCUUGUGAUUAAGGGAUGCUAGGACUGACGUCGGCCGCCCACGCCACGUGCAGGAGCGUGAAGGGGAACUGGGCCCACGAACCCUUUGUGCUUAGGAGUUAGACCGGCGGGCUGGCCUCUCUGAUUAGUCUUAGGUGGGGCUGCGACGUGUCGAUAUUCCGAGGCCGGGCAGGACCCAGAAAAGUAUGUCCGGCCAGAGUGUUAUCGAGCGUGACGGGACAUGUGGUGCACCCCUGCAGGGAUGAAAAUUAACUAUUCGGAUAGCCGUGUCCACGGUUACAGGACGACUUGGAGUUGUGCCCCGAUCUUUUACAACUACAAUUGUUACUUAACUGGAAUUAGUUUGCCUCGGGAUUGCUUCCUCGCAGGGAGUCGAGGGAGGAUCUUUAGGCGUGACCUCACUUUAAUAUUGCUGCAACAAUAUGACUAUUUAUGUUUUACCCCCUGUUCUACUCUCGUCUUUUGCUGCAAGACCCUGAAGAUGCUAGUCUUCGAUAGGACUAGGCCUUCUCUCUCUAUUCUCGCAUUGCUGCAGUCAGUCCACAUAUACACCCCUCCCUUCUUUGAUACUGAUGCAUAAUUAGAAUAGUUCUGAUGUAAGACUUGCGAGUACUUUGGAUGAGUACUCACCGCUGCUUUGCUCCCCCCUUGUCCCCUUGAUCCGUUGCUGCGACCAGAUGAUGGAGCCCAGGAGAUGGAGGUCCCCGCCACCGACGACUGCUACCCCGACGGUGCCUACUACUACGUGGAGGCCGCUGAUGAUCAGGAGUAGUUAGGAGGUUCCCAGGCAGGAGGCUUCGCCUCAUUCAAUCGUUGUAUCUUUUGUGCUAGCCUUCUCUAAGGCACCCCAUGUUUAUGUCUGUACUCAGAUAUUUUUUGUUUCCGCUGACUCGUGUGUUUAUCAAGCUUUCGUAUUCUAGCCCUCGAGGCCCCUGGCUUGUAAUAUGAAGCUGAUGUUAUUUUAUUUGUGUCUAGAGUUGUGUUGUGAUAUCUUCC